GGAGUUUGGGCCGUGUCUCAGUCCCAAUGUGGCCGGUCAUCCUCUCAGAUCGGCUACUGAUCGUCGUCUUGGUGGGCCGUUACCCCGCCUACUAUCUAAUCAGACGCAUCCCCAUCCCUUAGCGAUGAAUCUUUGGUCCUCGUCAGAUGUCUUCAAAGGACAACAUAGGGAAUUAAUCCGACUUUCGCCGGGCUGUGCCCUACUAAGGGGAAGGUUGGAUACGCGUUACUCACCCGUGCGCCGGUCGCCAUCUAUCAAAGCAAGCUUCGAUAAUGUUGCCCCUCGACUUGCAUGUGUUAAGCCUGUAGCUAGCGUUCAUC
rnacentral:rRNA from 1 species